UGUGAAUUUCACUCGUGAUGUUAGCGUAUAUGGAGCGUUUUCAACGUGGUGCUGUCGUGUUAUUGUUACGAAACUUUCAAGAUUUAUUUGCUGAAAUAGCUGAACGUAUCGAAGACGUCUUUAGAUGGACAAGCUCUAUUCAGUUUUCAAAAGUUGACUGACACGGCUAACUACAGUGACUGGAAAUUUAGUAUGGAAAUGUACGUAAAACUCGAGAAACUAUGGGAAGCCACUGCUGGAACUGAUGAAUAUCCGAAGAAUGUACGGUUUAAUGCGUACCUGUAUUCGUACACACACUUAUUCUCUACCAGAUUCCGAGUGGAAUCCACCACUAUCAUGGGGAACGCAAGAAUCCACUUUUCUGUUUUACUCGAUGACUCUCCGUCAAUUACUAAGAGUAAAAUGUAAAUGGUGCAUAAGAUUAUAAAUUCCAGAUAUCAUCAGGAAAUGGAGAUUACAAUUUUAUAGCCACCGAUAUAGCACAGACAAAAACAUGCUCGCAAAAAAUUAUAAACUUAGCCUUAUCGAUGAAAAACGACACAUGACUGAUGAAGACCUACAAGAAAUUGGCAUUCGUGAAAUAAUUCAAGACGGAACAAAAUUUAGAACCGUAGUCCACAAGCAAAAAUUUGGUUAGAACUUAAGGAGAAACAUAAUGAACGAAUGUAGAAAUACUGGGAAGAAAAGAACAGUUCAAACCCGCUCCUAAUUCUGAUACAACGAAUAAAACGACGCAUUAUUUUUAUUUGAGAGAAGGUGAACUUCUUAGCUUUAUUUUUAACCGCAGCGUCGUUGUUAUUUAAACUAAAA